rnacentral:lncRNA from 1 species
AAGGAAACAGGCAAAAGGGUAAAACAUCGCAUCAGUGUUGUUACUGGAGGAAAAGUCACACAACAGGAAGAAAUGGCAGGAGAAGAGGCCGAAUGCUAGCAAACAAAUGCUCUGACCAAAUACCCUGUAAACAAAUAACACAAGUACCCUGAAACAAGGCUCAGAAUAAAAGCAGUGGACCACUGACUGAAACACAGUGUGGACUGUCGGUUUGAGCAUCCCAUGGUGGUACCUGACCCUGACCUUGGCACAAACACUUCCUACCUGUCCCCAGCCUCUUCAGCCUUCCCUUGAAACCACCAUAAAACCAUCAAAAGCAGAGGGCCUUGCCAGGAAAAACCACUCUGUGUCCAAGACCCUAGCUCGGCCUGCACCUACCACGUGCCGUUGGACCUUGGGCAUGCUGUUCUGUUGUAGAAUGGAGAUGCUAUUCUCCAUGCCAUCUACCUUGGAGAUAUUUUC